GACGAACGCUGGCGGCGUGCUUAACACAUGCAAGUCGAACGGAAAGGCCCUGCUUGCAGGGUACUCGAGUGGCGAACGGGUGAGUAACACGUGGGUGAUCUGCCCUGCACUUCGGGAUAAGCCUGGGAAACUGGGUCUAAUACCGGAUAGGAGCCAUUUUUAGUGUGAUGGUUGGAAAGUUUUUUCGGUGUAGGAUGAGCUCGCGGCCUAUCAGCUUGUUGGUGGGGUAAUGGCCUACCAAGGCGGCGACGGGUCGCCGGCCUGAGAGGGUGGACGGCCACAUUGGGACUGAGAUACGGCCCAGACUACUACGGGAGGCAGCAGUGGGGAAUAUUGCACAAUGGGCGCAAGCCUGAUGCAGCGACGCCGCGUGGGGGAUGACGGCCUUCGGGUUGUAAACUCCUUUCGCUAGGGACGAAGCUUUUUGUGACGGUACCUAGAUAAGAAGCACCGGCUAACUACGUG
rnacentral:rRNA from 1 species